AUGUGUUUUAUGCGAGGUGUAUGUAUGUUAUCUGCUCUGCUACAUAUGAGGAUUGAGAGUGUAGCAGAGACUUCAGAGGAGGCCAGAGAAUUAAUCCUGAGAUGAACGAGAGCUGUCUGAGACAAAGGAUACAUAGAAGGUUGAAAGAUGAUCAGCUAAGUCAGAGGAUGGCAACUUUGCGUUCAAUCCUGCUUCACGUGACUAUGGCAAAGAAGAAGAAAACAAAGAAG